CAGCAGCCACGGUAAUACGAAGGGAGCGAGCGUUGUUCGGAAUCACUGGGCUUAAAGCGUGCGUAGGCGGAAAUGUAAGUCAGAAGUGAAAGCCCAGGGCUCAACCCUGGAGCUGCUUUUGAGACUGCAAUUCUAGAAUUCGGUAGAGGCUAGUGGAAUGUCCAGUGUAGAGGUGAAAUUCGCAGAUAUUGGACGGAACACCAGUGGCGAAGGCGACUAGCUGGGCCGAUAUUGACGCUGAGGCACGAAAGCGUGGGUAGCAGACAGGAUUAGAUACCCCAGUAGUCCCUGUCUCUUAUAC
rnacentral:rRNA from 1 species